UACGUAGGGGGCAAGCGUUAUCCGGAUUUACUGGGUGUAAAGGGAGCGUAGACGGCAGUGCAAGUCUGGAGUGAAAGGCGGGGGCUCAACCCCCGGACGGCUCUGGAAACUGUACGGCUGGAGUGCAGGAGAGGUAAGUGGAAUUCCUAGUGUAGCGGUGAAAUGCGUAGAUAUUAGGAGGAACACCAGUGGCGGAGGCGGCUUACUGGACUGUAACUGACGUUGAGGCUCGAAAGCGUGGGGAGCAAACAGG
rnacentral:rRNA from 1 species